GCCGUAUUACAAUCUUAAGACCCACUACCAUAGCAUAGUAUGUCUACCUUACUAUGAACCAGAUUACAUAAACGCUACCCACGCUUGCACAAAAGCCAAAAUUAGCAGGUAUUAAUAUACUUGACUUUCUCAAAAUGCUCAUCUAGGUGUAAGAAUAGGUUAUAUAAUCAUCCAUAGUGAAUGCCCCUAGCCUGUUACUUAGCAUGGG